rnacentral:rRNA from 1 species
AACGAACGCUGGCGGCAGGCUUAACACAUGCAAGUCGAACGCGUGCAGCAAUGCACGAGUGGCGCACGGGUGAGUAACGAGUGGAUAUCUGCCUUUUGGUUCGGAAUAACCCCGGGAAACUGGGGCUAAUACCGGAUGGUUCCUACGGGAUAAAGAUUUAUCGCCACAAGAUGAGUCCGCGUCCGAUUAGCUAGUUGGUGAGGUAAUGGCUCACCAAGGCGACGAUCGGUAGCUGGUCUGAGAGGACGAUCAGCCACACUGGGACUGAGACACGGCCCAGACUCCUACGGGAGGCAGCAGUGGGGAAUAUUGGACAAUGGGGGCAACCCUGAUCCAGCCAUGCCGCGUGAGUGAUGAAGGCCUUCGGGUUGUAAAGCUCUUUUGGCGGGGACGAUGAUGACGGUACCCGCAGAAUAAGCCCCGGCUAACUUCGUG